rnacentral:rRNA from 1 species
UACGGAGGGUGCAAGCGUUAUCCGGAUUCACUGGGUUAAAGGGUGCGUAGGCGGGCAGGUAAGUCAGUGGUGAAAUCUCCGAGCUUAGCUCGGAAACUGCCUUUGAUACUAUCUGUCUUGAAUAUUGUGGAGGUAAGCGGAAUAUGUCAUGUAGCGGUGAAAUGUUUAGAGAUGACAUAGAACACCUAUUGCGAAGGCAGCUUACUACGCAUAUAUUGACGCUGAGGCACGAAAGCGUGGGGAUCAAACAGG